GACGAACGCUGGCGGCGUGCUUAACACAUGCAAGUCGAACGGAAAGGCCCUUUCGGGGGUGCUCGAGUGGCGAACGGGUGAGUAACACGUGGGUGAUCUGCCCUGCACUUCGGGAUAAGCCUGGGAAACUGGGUCUAAUACCGGAUAGGACUACGAAUCGCAUGGUUUGUGGUGGAAAGCUUUUGCGGUGUGGGAUGGGCCCGCGGCCUAUCAGCUUGUUGGUGGGGUGAUGGCCUACCAAGGCGACGACGGGUAGCCGGCCUGAGAGGGUGUCCGGCCACACUGGGACUGAGAUACGGCCCAGACUCCUACGGGUGGCUG
rnacentral:rRNA from 1 species